rnacentral:rRNA from 1 species
AGAAUCAACGCUGGCGGCGUGCCUAACGACAUGCAAGUCGCACGAGAAAGUGGAGCAAUCCAUGAGUAAAGUGGCGCACGGGUGAGUAACACGUGAAUUAUCUACCUCCGAGUGGGGAAUAACUGAGAGAAAUCUUAGCUAAUACCGCAUAACACUUACGAGUCAAAGCAGCAAUGCGCUUGGAGAGGAGUUCGCGGCCGAUUAGUUAGUUGGCGGGGUAAUGGCCCACCAAGACGAUGAUCGGUAUCCGGCCUGAGAGGGCGCACGGACACACUGGAACUGAAACACGGUCCAGACUCCUACGGGAGGCAGCAGUGGGGAAUUUUGCGCAAUGGGGGAAACCCUGACGCAGCAACGCCGCGUGGAGGAUGAAAUCCCUUGGGAUGUAAACUCCUUUCGAUAGGGAAGAUAAUGACGGUACCUAUAGAAGAAGCCCCGGCUAACUUCGUGCCAGCAGCCGC